CCACCAUCGAGACCGGCAGAGGGACAGGCCCUUUGAAGCCGGGGCAGCCCGCAGGCGCGCAAGCGACCUGCGUAGGUGCCAAAUCCUGCGGGGACCGUGGCGUCCACCGAAAGAUGGUUC
rnacentral:ncRNA from 2 species